GGUUGCAUAGUGGAGCAGUUAGCACGUCUGCUUUACAUGUAGAAGGUCCUGGGUUCAUGCCCCAGUGGAGCCA
rnacentral:tRNA from 1 species